UACGGAGGAUCCAAGCGUUAUCCGGAAUCAUUGGGUUUAAAGGGUCCGUAGGUGGAUAAUUAAGUCAGAGGUGAAAUCCUGCAGCUCAACUGUAGAAUUGCCUUUGAUACUGGUUAUCUUGAGUCAUUAUGAAGUGGUUAGAAUAUGUAGUGUAGCGGUGAAAUGCAUAGAUAUUACAUAGAAUACCAAUUGCGAAGGCAGAUCACUAAUAAUGUACUGACACUGAUGGACGAAAGCGUGGGGAGCGAACAGG
rnacentral:rRNA from 1 species